GAGUUUGAUCAUGGCUCAAGAUGAACGCUAGCUACAGGCUUAACACAUGCAAGUCGAGGGGAAACGACAUCGAAAGCUUGCUUUUGAUGGGCGUCGACCGGCGCACGGGUGAGUAACGCGUAUCCAACCCGCCCACCACUUGGGGAUAACCUUGCGAAAGUAAGACUAAUACCCAAUGACGUCUCUAGAAGACAUCUGAAAGAGAUUAAAGAUUUAUCGGUGAUGGAUGGGGAUGCGUCUGAUUAGCUUGUUGGCGGGGUAACGGCCACAAGGCGACGAUCAGUAGGGGUUCUGAGAGGAAGGUCCCCCANAUUGGAACUGAGACACGGUCCAAACUCCUACGGGAGGCA
rnacentral:rRNA from 1 species